rnacentral:rRNA from 1 species
UUCUGUAGCAAGGUUAACCGAAUAGGGGAGCCGGAGGGAAACCGAGUCUUAAUUGGGCGUUAAGUUGCAGGGUAUAGACCCGAAACCCGGUGAUCUAGCCAUGGGCAGGUUGAAGGUUGGGUAACACUAACUGGAGGACCGAACCGACUAAUGUUGAAAAAUUAGCGGAUGACCUGUGGCUGGGGGUGAAAGGCCAAUCAAACCGGGAGAUAGCUGGUUCUCCCCGAAAGCUAUUUAGGUAGCGCCUCGUGAAUUCAUCUCCGGGGGUAGAGCACUGUUUCGGCUAGGGGGCCAUCCCGGCUUACCAACCCGAUGCAAACUGCGAAUACCGGAGAAUGUUAUCACGGGAGACACACGGCGGGUGCUAACGUCCGUCGUGAAGAGGGAAACAACCCAGACCGCCAGCUAAGGUCCCAAAGUCAUGGUUAAGUGGGAAACGAUGUGGGAAGGCCCAGACAGCCAGGAUGUUGGCUUAGAAGCAGCCAUCAUUUAAAGAAAGCGUAAUAGCUCACUGGUCGAGUCGGCCUGCGCGGAAGAUGUAACGGGGCUAAACCAUGCACCGAAGCUGCGGCAGCGACGCUGAUGCGUUGUUGGGUAGGGGAGCGUUCUGUAAGCCUGCGAAGGUGGCCUGUGAGGGUUGCUGGAGGUAUCAGAAGUGCGAAUGCUGACAUAAGUAACGAUAAAGCGGGUGAAAAGCCCGCUCGCCGGAAGACCAAGGGUUCCUGUCCAACGUUAAUCGGGGCAGGGUGAGUCGACCCCUAAGGCGAGGCCGAAAGGCGUAGUCGAUGGGAAACGGGUUAAUAUUCCCGUACUUGGUGUUACUGCGAAGGGGGGACGGAGAAGGCUAUGUUGGCCGGGCGACGGUUGUCCCGGUUUAAGCGUGUAGGUGUGUGUUCCAGGUAAAUCCGGUUCACUUUAACACUGAGGCGUGAUGACGAGGCACUACGGUGCUGAAGCAACAAAUGCCCUGCUUCCAGGAAAAGCCUCUAAGCAUCAGGUAACAUCAAAUCGUACCCCAAACCGACACAGGUGGUCAGGUAGAGAAUACCAAGGCGCUUGAGAGAACUCGGGUGAAGGAACUAGGCAAAAUGGUGCCGUAACUUCGGGAGAAGGCACGCUGACACGUAGGUGAAGUGAUUUACUCAUGGAGCUGAAGUCAGUCGAAGAUACCAGCUGGCUGCAACUGUUUAUUAAAAACACAGCACUGUGCAAACACGAAAGUGGACGUAUACGGUGUGACGCCUGCCCGGUGCCGGAAGGUUAAUUGAUGGGGUCAGCGCAAGCGAAGCUCCUGAUCGAAGCCCCGGUAAACGGCGGCCGUAACUAUAACGGUCCUAAGGUAGCGAAAUUCCUUGUCGGGUAAGUUCCGACCUGCACGAAUGGCGUAAUGAUGGCCAGGCUGUCUCCACCCGAGACUCAGUGAAAUUGAACUCGCUGUGAAGAUGCAGUGUACCCGCGGCAAGACGGAAAGACCCCGUGAACCUUUACUAUAGCUUGACACUGAACAUUGAGCCUUGAUGUGUAGGAUAGGUGGGAGGCUUUGAAGUGUGGACGCCAGUCUGCAUGGAGCCGGCCUUGAAAUACCACCCUUUAAUGUUUGAUGUUCUAACGUGGACCCGUGAUCCGGGUUGCGGACAGUGUCUGGUGGGUAGUUUGACUGGGGCGGUCUCCUCCUAAAGAGUAACGGAGGAGCACGAAGGUUGGCUAAUCCUGGUCGGACAUCAGGAGGUUAGUGCAAUGGCAUAAGCCAGCUUGACUGCGAGCGUGACGGCGCGAGCAGGUGCGAAAGCAGGUCAUAGUGAUCCGGUGGUUCUGAAUGGAAGGGCCAUCGCUCAACGGAUAAAAGGUACUCCGGGGAUAACAGGCUGAUACCGCCCAAGAGUUCAUAUCGACGGCGGUGUUUGGCACCUCGAUGUCGGCUCAUCACAUCCUGGGGCUGAAGUAGGUCCCAAGGGUAUGGCUGUUCGCCAUUUAAAGUGGUACGCGAGCUGGGUUUAGAACGUCGUGAGACAGUUCGGUCCCUAUCUGCCGUGGGCGCUGGAGAACUGAGGGGGGCUGCUCCUAGUACGAGAGGACCGGAGUGGACGCAUCACUGGUGUUCGGGUUGUCAUGCCAAUGGCACUGCCCGGUAGCUAAAUGCGGAAGAGAUAAGUGCUGAAAGCAUCUAAGCACGAAACUUGCCCCGA